UUGAAAACCAAGGAAGCUAGGCUUGGUCCUCUUCCAGUAUCCCAUUGAGCUCCUGCUCUUGGUCACCACGGUGCUGUGGUCCAUUCUGAUAACAGCACUAGAGAGGCAUCUCAGCAUUAUAUAUAUUGUCCUUCUGUAGUUGAAGUUUUAUCCCCUUCACUUUUCAGAGGUGCACUUAGGACUCACAUAACUCUCCAUGGUCAGGGAGCCACCUCAGGACAAAAAUUGAUCCAGAUAUUCUUCUACCUCACUUCUCUGACAGAUUAAACUUUGAUAGGAAAUUUUUAUAAACUGAAGACAGUGUCUGUCUAUAUAUCUCUGUUUAGUCUGGUACUUAUUAUAAGAAUCAGGAAAGAGCUGACUAUGUAAUGCAGGAUGGCUUCAAAAUCACAGAGAUCUGCUUCUCUGUGUCAAAUAUUGGAGUGAUAGGUAUGAACAACCACAAAACUAGCUACCCUCCACUACCAUUGUCCCCCUACUUCCUGUGUUAUAUAUUCUCUCUCUUUUCUGUCUCUCUGUCUCUCUACCUUUGUGUCUGUCUCUCUGUCUCUCUCUGUGUCUCUGUUUCUCUGUCUUUCUCUGUCUCUGUGUGUGUGUGUGUGUGUGAGGGGUGCCUUUCUCUUUAAUGGCUCCUGUACAUUCGUGUAUAUGGGACGAUCAAUUGGAGUAUCUGUAUCCACUUUUAAUUGCCAAUGUCCCCUCAGAUAAGGUUGAGUCUUGAUACUUCCUCCCCCACAGGAAGGUUGUUUUUAGAAAUCCAGAUACUAAGGCAUUUACAAGGACAGCAAAUAUUUCCACUAGUGUUGUUUUCUUUCAGCCAAAACAUCACACGAAUUAUCAGGCAGUUGUCAAUAAUGUGUUAGUGGGAGAGUACCUCAGAAUGGCAGAAACAAUAACAGCAAGCAACAUAUGUGAAACAACACUGAGCAGCAAAGUUGAUUGUGAACAACACACUCAUGCUCCUUCACAACCUCCUAGCAAACUUCAGAUAUGAUGAGUAUCCAUGGGAAGAUUUGCCUAGGACGAUACCUCAACCAUCAUUCAAGUUCCAGAUAGCUAAUACAUUUUUGUGUAACAUUGCUGGUAAAUAAAAAUAAUAGUUUGAC